AGAAAACCAAAGUCUGCAAUCCAACAUAUCAUAGACCCCUUGAACAGGGUGUGGAAAAAAUUUGUGAAAAUGAACAAAGGACGUGAUCAAUGGAGGCACGAACUGAAUGUUAAAAUGGAUUAUCCGUGUGCGAGACAAAAAUAAGGAACUGAUUGGUGCGGGUACUACAUAUGCGACUUCUUGCACAUCUUGACUCCAUGCGGGAAGCCUACUACGGAGGACCUAAGAAUGAUUCGACUCAAGGAUGAAUGUUAUUCUACUGAUCGGAUCAACGCCGUGUGCGAGCAGCUCGCCGGAUUCAUUUUGAACGAGAUCCUGGAUCCUAAAGGCGAGUUCUACCACGACGGUCACAUCUAUAGAGGAUUUCCAUCGACGUCCUGAGGGGCCCAGUAGUUGGACUAUAAACAUGACUUGUACAUUUGUAAAUAUUUCUAAAUGUGAUGCCUUGUUGUUUGUAUAUUUGUAAA